rnacentral:lncRNA from 1 species
CAAAAUAAAAUAUUUUUUCUAAAUCAAAUUAUUUUAUUUGACAAAUUAAAUUUUAAAACAAAACUUGCACAUGUAUAGCAUGCGCAUUUUCUGCAUUGGAUUAAACGAUACAUACAUAUGGAUUUCUGAUCAUCAUUGAUUUGGAAUCAAGACUGAGCUUUGAAAUAAAAGGUACAACAUAGUGAAAGUCCUGCAAUACCGUAAAGAGUACGAAAAAGACAUCCAUCUCAUUAUUUAUCCGCAAGAUUCCGUCUACGUAUGAAGAAAACAUUCAUUCCGGUAUUUAAGAUUCCAUUUAGGCAUGAGGUUUGACAUCAAAUAAGGGAUCGUGUAAUAUAUUUAAGUAUAAAUAAAAUAAUUUUUCGCAAAAAUUGAAAUAAAAGA